rnacentral:rRNA from 1 species
UACAGAGGGUGCGAGCGUUAAUCGGAAUUACUGGGCGUAAAGCGCACGUAGGCGGCUUGGUAUGUCGGGUGUGAAAUCCCCGGGCUCAACCUGGGAACUGCAUCCGAAACUGCCUUGCUAGAGUAUGGGAGAGGGAAGUGGAAUUUCCGGUGUAGCGGUGAAAUGCGUAGAUAUCGGAAGGAACAUCAGUGGCGAAGGCGACUUCCUGGACCAAUACUGACGCUCAGGUGCGAAAGCUAGGGGAGCAAACGGG